rnacentral:rRNA from 1 species
UACGUAGGGGGCAAGCGUUGUCCGGAUUCAUUGGGCGUAAAGAGCGUGUAGGCGGCCUGGAAGGUCAGCUGUGAAAACUCGAGGCUCAACCUCGAGACGUCGGUUGAAACCACCUGGCUAGAGUCCGGAAGAGGAGUGUGGAAUUCCCGGUGUAGCGGUGAAAUGCGCAGAUAUCGGGAAGCACACCCGUGGCGAAGGCGGCACUCUGGGACGGUACUGGACACUGAGGCGCGAAAGCGUGGGGAGCGAACAGG